GUCCACGCCCUAAACGAUGUCAACUAGGUGUCGGGAGCGCAAGUUCUUGGUACCGCAGCUAACGCGUGAAGUUGACCGCCUGGGGAGUACGGUCGCAAGAUUAAAACUCAAAGGAAUUGACGGGGACCCGCACAAGCGGUGGAUGAUGUGGAUUAAUUCGAUGCAACUCGAACAACCUUACCUACCCUUGACAUGUCCAGGAGGCCACUGAAAGGUGGCUGUGCCCGAAAGGGAAUUGGAACACAGGUGCUGCAUGGCUGUCGU
rnacentral:rRNA from 1 species